rnacentral:snoRNA from 1 species
CAACUACAACUCUGUGGAACAUUUGAGCCAUUUAUUGCUCCCCAGACAACCCUCCUUGGUUGUCGAUGAAG